rnacentral:rRNA from 1 species
GAUGAACGCUGGCGGCGUGCCUAAUACAUGCAAGUCGAGCGAACAGACGAGGAGCCUGCUCCUCUGACGUUAGCGGCGGACGGGUGAGUAACACGUGGAUAACCUACCUAUAAGACUGGGAUAACUUCGGGAAACCGGAGCUAAUACCGGAUAAUAUAUUGAACCGCAUGGUUCAAUAGUGAAAGACGGUUUUGCUGUCACUUAUAGAUGGAUCCGCGCCGCAUUAGCUAGUUGGUAAGGUAACGGCUUACCAAGGCAACGAUGCGUAGCCGACCUGAGAGGGUGAUCGGCCACACUGGAACUGAGACACGGUCCAGACUCCUACGGGAGGCAGCAGUAGGGAAUCUUCCGCAAUGGGCGAAAGCCUGACGGAGCAACGCCGCGUGAGUGAUGAAGGUCUUCGGAUCGUAAAACUCUGUUAUUAGGGAAGAACAAAUGUGUAAGUAACUAUGCACGUCUUGACGGUACCUAAUCAGAAAGCCACGGCUAACUACGUG